rnacentral:rRNA from 1 species
UACGAAGGGGACUAGCGUUGUUCGGAAUCACUGGGCGUAAAGCGCACGUAGGCGGUGAGGUAAGUCGGAUGUGAAAGCCCAGGGCUCAACCCCUGGAAGUGCACUCGAUACUGCUUCGCUUGAGUACUGGAGAGGUUGGUGGAAUUCUCGGUGUAGAGGUGAAAUUCGUAGAUAUCGAGAGGAACAUCUGUGGCGAAGGCGGCCAACUGGACAGAUACUGACGCUGAGACACGAAAGUGCGGGGAGCAAACAGG